rnacentral:rRNA from 1 species
AUACGGAUGGUGCGAGCGUUGUUCGGAAUUACUGGGCGUAAAGGGCGCGUAGGCGGCCCUGUAAGUCAGGUGUGAAAGCCCACGGCUCAACCGUGGAAGUGCAUCUGAAACUGCAAGGCUUGAGUACUGGAGGGGAGUGUGGAAUUCCUGGUGUAGAGGUGAAAUUCGUAGAUAUCAGGAGGAAUACCGGUGGCGAAGGCGACACUCUGGACAGAUACUGACGCUGAGGCGCGAAAGCGUGGGGAGCAAACAGGAUUAGAAACCCUAGUAGUCC